UAAAAGGGUGCUCGUCCUAGCACGUUCCCCAUCACGGAACAUAAGUGCAGACGCAUUGCGCCGCGGGAGUGUCUCCUUCGUCCCGCUCUUGAGUGGGCGGGGGCGAGCGCCCAAUUGCCGCCUUCGACGUCUCCUUGCGCGCCCAGUGGGGUAUGGCUUUGCAUAUCCAGUGCGUAAUUUUUGGAUUUGGGGCCGCGGCUGCACAUCCUGGAUUGCUUGGGGAUCUCGGUCCCCUUGCGUGCCAGUGCGCUGCGCCCCG